rnacentral:rRNA from 1 species
UGAAACGAUUGGCGGGGACCCGCACAAGCGAAGGGAUGAUGUGGUUUAAUUCGAUGCAACGCGAAAAACCUUACGCACCUUUGACAUGUACGGAAUCCUUUUGAGAUAGAGGAGUGCUCGAAAGUUAGCCGUAACACACGUGCUGCAUGGCUGUCGUCAGCUCGUGUCGUGAGAUGUUGGGUUAAGUCCCGCAACGAGCGCAACCCUUGCCAUUAGUUGCUACGAAAGGGCACUCUAAUGGGACUGCCGGUCACAAACCGGAGGAAGGUGGGGAUGACGUCAAGUCCUCAUGGCCCUUAUAGGUGGGGCUACACACGUCAUACAAUGGCUGGUACAGAGGGUUGCCAACCCGCGAGGGGGAGCUAAUCCCAUAAAGCCAGUCGUAGUCCGGAUCGCAGUCUGCAACUCGACUGCGUGAAGUCGGAAUCGCUAGUAAUCGCGCAUCAGAAUGUCGCGGUGAAUACGUUCCCGGGUCUUGUACACACCGCCCGUCACACCAUGGGGAGCGGGUUCUGCCAGAAGUAAGUAGCCUAACCGGUAACGGAGGGCGCUUUACCACGGCAGGGUUCGUGACUGGGGUGAAGUC